rnacentral:rRNA from 1 species
GACGUAGGUGGCGACCGUUAUCCGGAAUUAUUGGGCGUAAAGGGUGCGUAGAUGGCUUGAUAAGUUAGCAGUGGGAAAUCGAGGCUCAACCUCGUGGAAGCUGGUAAUACUGUCAUGCUUGAGUGCAGGAGAGGUUAACGGAACUCCAUGUGGAGCGGUAAAAUGUGUAGAUAUGUGGAGGAACACCUGUGGCGAAGGCGCCUUGCUGGCCAAUUUCUGACGCUGAGGCGCGAAAGCGUGGGGAGCAAACAGG